CACGUAGGGACCAAGCGUUGUCCGGAUUUAUUGGGCGUAAAGAGCUCGUAGGCGGCUUGGUAAGUCGGGUGUGAAACCUCCAGGCUCAACCUGGUGACGCCACCCGAUACUGCUAUGCUUGAGUUCGGUAGGGGAGCGGGGAAUUCCUGGUGUAGCGGUGAAAUGCGCAGAUAUCAGGAGGAACACCGGUGGCGAAGGCGCCGCUCUGGGCCGAAACUGACGCUGAGGAGCGAAAGCGUGGGGAACGAACAGG
rnacentral:rRNA from 1 species